rnacentral:rRNA from 1 species
UAAAAGUUUGAUCUUGGCUCAGGACGAAACGCUGGCGGCGUGCCUAAUACAUGCAAGUCGAGCGAGCAGAACCAGCAGAUUUACUUCGGUAAUGACGCUGGGGACGCGAGCGGCGGAUGGGUGAGUAACACGUGGGGAACCUGCCCCAUAGUCUGGGAUACCACUUGGAAACAGGUGCUAAUACCGGAUAAGAAAGCAGAUCGCAUGAUCAGCUUAUAAAAGGCGGCGUAAGCUGUCGCUAUGGGAUGGCCCCGCGGUGCAUUAGCUAGUUGGUAAGGUAACGGCUUACCAAGGCAAUGAUGCAUAGCCGAGUUGAGAGACUGAUCGGCCACAUUGGGACUGAGACACGGCCCAAACUCCUACGGGAGGCAGCAGUAGGGAAUCUUCCACAAUGGACGCAAGUCUGAUGGAGCAACGCCGCGUGAGUGAAGAAGGUUUUCGGAUCGUAAAGCUCUGUUGUUGGUGAAGAAGGAUAGAGGUAGUAACUGGCCCUUUAUUUGACGGUAAUCGACCAAAAAGG